CUUGCGCUCCUUGGUAUUCCUUGGAGCAUGCCUGUUUGAGUAUCAUGAAAUCUUCAAAGUAAAUCUUUUGUUAACUCGAUUGGUUCUACUUUGGUAUUGGAGGUCUUUGCAGCUUCACACCUGCUCCUCUUCGUUCAUUAGCUGGAUCUCAGUGUUAUGCUUGGUUCCACUCAGCGUGAUAAGUUAUCUAUCGCUGAGGACACUGUAACAGGUGGCCAAGGGAAAUGCAGAUGAACCGCUUCUAAUAGUCCAUUGACUUGGACACUAUUUUUAUGAUCUGAUCUCAAAUCAGGUAGGACUACCCGCUGAACUUAAGCAUAUCAAUAAGCGGAGGAAAAGAAACUAACAAGGAUUCCCCUAGUAACGGCGAGUGAAGCGGGAAGAGCUCAAAUUUAAAAUCUGGCAGUGUAUUCUGUCCGAGUUGUAGUCUAGAGAAGCAUCAUCCGUGCUGGACCAUGUACAAGUCUCUUGGAACAGAGCGUCAUAGAGGGUGAGAAUCCCGUCCUUGACAUGGACUCCCAGUACUUUGUGUUGUGCUCUCAACGAGUCGAGUUGUUUGGGAAUGCAGCUCAAAAUGGGUGGUAAAUUCCAUCUAAAGCUAAAUAUUGGCGAGAGACCGAUAGCGAACAAGUACCGUGAGGGAAAGAUGAAAAGCACUUUGGAGAGAGAGUUAAACAGUACGUGAAAUUGUUGAAAUGGAAACGCUUGAAGUCAGUCGCGUUCUCUGGGAUUCAGCCUUGCUUUUGCUUGGUGCAUUUCCUAGUCUACGUGCCAGCAUGAAUUUUGACCAAUGGAAAAAGGCUUGGGGAAUGUGGCACC
rnacentral:rRNA from 1 species